CCCAGACUCCUACGGGAGGCAGCAGUGGGGGAUAUUGCGCAAUGGGGGGAACCCUGAUGCAGCGACGCCGCGUGGGUGAAGGAGCGUUUCGGCGCGUAAAGCCCUAUCGGCAGGGAAGAAGGAGGACGGUACCUGACUAAGAAGCCCCGGCUAACUACGUGCCAGCAGCCGCGGUAAUACGUAGGGGGCAAGCGUUAUCCGGAUUUACUGGGUGUAAAGGGGGCGCAGACGGCAGCGCAAGCCAGGAGUGAAAGCCCGGGGCCCAACCCCGGGACUGCUCUUGGAACUGCGCGGCUGGAGUGCAGGAGGGGCAGGCGGAAUUCCUGGUGUAGCGGUGAAAUGCGUAGAUAUCAGGAGGAACACCGGUGGCGAAGGCGGCCUGCUGGACUGCGACUGACGUUGAGGCCCGAAAGCGUGGGGAGCAAACAGGAUUAGAUACCCCGGUAA
rnacentral:rRNA from 1 species